rnacentral:rRNA from 1 species
CGGCGGACGGGUGAGUAACGCGUGGGUAACCUACCCUGUACACACGGAUAACAUACCGAAAGGUAUGCUAAUACGGGAUAAUAUAUUUGAGAGGCAUCUCUUGAAUAUCAAAGGUGAGCCAGUACAGGAUGGACCCGCGUCUGAUUAGCAGUUGGUAAGGUAACGGCUUACCAAGGCGACGAUCAGUAGCCGACCUGAGAGGGUGAUCGGCCACAUUGGAACUGAGACACGGUCCA